UCUGGUGGCGAUGGCGAGAAGGCCACACCCGUUCCCAUACCGAACACGGAAAGUUAAGCUUCUCAGCGCCGAUGGUAGUUGGGGCAUUGCCCCUGCGAGAGUAGGACGCUGCCGGGC
rnacentral:rRNA from 1 species